rnacentral:antisense_RNA from 1 species
GGGGCUGCCGCCAUGUUUCCUGAACACAAAAUGGCGACACGUGGUUAGCAUUCGUCGCCAACGAGAAAUUGGGGUCGGCCCGAAAGCUCUAGAAUGCACCCCCCUUCUUCCCCGGGGCCUUCCACCUCCGCGAGUUUUAUGACUUAAAAAACCCCACAGGCUGGUCUGAAGAGGAAGACAAACAUAAAGAUGAAGUGCUUAAUUCAAGGUCACACAAUGUCGGGGAUGGACCUCCAGAUUUCCUUACUGGUGAGACGUGGUCUUGUAACACAGUGGUUAAGAAUGUGACUUUGGAGCCAGCCUGCUAGGGGCUGAAUUCUGACUCAGCCAUUUACUAACUGUGUGACCUUAGGUCACAGAAUUUUCCACACUCCUUGACGGAGGUGCUUAACCCUUAUCCAUCAGCAUUCUCAGACAGCACCUCCGGUUAGGGACAGUAUCUGACCGUCCGACAUCCCUGCAGCCCCCAUGUGUCACACAGACUCAGCCUCAGGUAGAUGGUUUCCGUAGAUGGUGGCUUUCUUUGGACCCUUGACAUCAACCAGUUACUAUUUGACUCUUCUGCAGAACCCCCUGUUGACCCCUGCUUUGAGGUGGCAGAGUUAACACUACUCUUCGUUAUAAGCUCUCGUCUGGGGCAACUCAGAAGAACCUCCUGCAACCACCGCUCUACUUUCUGUCUCUAUGAACUUGACUACUCUAGACACCUCAUGGGACCAGAUGUGCAGAGGUAAUGAAUACCAGGGAAUCAGGAAACCACUGGAUCAGUUCUUUGAGCCACAGAACAACACUCAUCCCAGCAGCUGGGAAGCUAUCUGCAAAAGUCCAUCUGCAGAAAGGGCUUCCUGGUCUUGCGUGUGGCUGGGCCAUUUCUCUGGAUGCAGGUUUUUCAUUAUACAGUCUUCUCAAAGAAACACCUGCUCUCAACACC